UUGUGUGGGGGGCAGGAGGGGCUUGCACUAAGACAUUAUAAGGAUGUUGGUUUUGAAUGUGAAAGAGCUGGGAGCCCCUAGAGACAGCUAGCUAGAGCCUGAUGUGUUUCAUUGGGAAACAGCUAAGGGGUGAUGAGUGAGGGGAGGCUGCUGCAGGGAUCCAGGAGCUGAUGGAUCACAGGUCUUUGAACACUUUGCAAGUGAGACCAGGAAGAGGCAGGUAUGGGCGGAAGGGCCCAGAAAACUGGAGGAGAAGGAAAUAAGGGCCCCAUGGACAGGUCCCAAGUCGGCAACCCAGAGUUAAGGGGCCCCAGGCUCUGGGAUCUCAUCAUCUAGGGCAGGGCUGGAUUUUGGAGGAGCAUGAGGGUGGGGGAAGGGGAGGAGAAGGGGCCUUGCUAGGUAAAGAGGAGGCCAAGGCCAUGUCUGUGGGGACAACCUCUCUAACAGGCUCUACCGUCUGUACAUGGUGAACUUCCCCGCAGGAAGACAUGCGAGCUAGUCAGGCACUCAAGGGAUUCCAUUAUGCGAUGCUAGAAGCCCUGGCAGGCAUACUGUCGCUCUCUGAAGGGGAGCUGGUUGGCAGAGGUGACCUCUAAGCCCUCUGCCGCCCUGACACCCUCAGAGCCCCUGACUGACCACUCCCAGCAGAGCCUGCGGAGAGGGAGAAGCCUCCCCUCCCCUUUCCUUUCGUGACCAAGAAUAAGCACCCCUCUCCCUUCACCAGUGACCACACAGCAGUGGGGGUGGUGUUAUGGUCACCAUGGCAACAGCAGGUGGCAUGUGUCAGCAGGGGGUGUGUGGGCACCAAACCUGUUCUUUUUGGUUCCUGGUGCAGCCUGUGGGGGAUCUGAGAUUUUUUGUACCCGCCCCCUCCCACCCAAGGCUCAGGGUUCUCAGAAAUCCAAACUCCCCCCCUCCCCAAUAAAGCCCCACCCCUGUCCCUGCCCUCAAGGCAGCAUUCAGUAAAAAACAGGGCAGCAGAACCCGGAAGUCCCAACUCUCUCCAAGGGACUUAAAGGAACCCCUGCGGAAGGCACGUGACCCUCUCCUGUCCCCCUGACCCCACAAUAAUAAACCUGGCCAGUGGAGGACAGAAUCGGCACAGCUUGUUCAGGUCCCAGGGCUCAAGCCUCUCCCCUGACUUCCCCUGCGUGCUUAAAGCUGAGUAGGUGCCGUCAGCACAUGAUUCAUAGCAAGGUCAUUCCCAGACAGUUACUGCAGGAGCCAUUCCUGGAAUUAGCCCCCAUAUCCUGGAGGUUGAGAUUGACAGGCAAUCCCUCUUGUGGGGUGUGUGUUCUUGAGAGCCUCCUCUUCUGAGUAAAUUCAAUCCCUCCAUGCUGCCCCACCACCACCCUGGGCAGAUCCCUUUCUAGAGAGGACAUUCUAAGUUCCUUGUGCCCAGCCCAGACUGGCUUCUGACACAACGUGGCCAGAGAUGAUAGGGGUCACCAGGGGCAACCUUAUUCAGAAAGAGUCCUGCCUGCCUUCCCCACAGCCCUGCUUUCAUUUACUUCUGAUGCUCCUCGGUCAUUGCAUCGGGCAUACAGUGUGUACACACAAACACACACACACACACACUCUUCACUGCAGCUGGCCAGGCCUGAGGAAGGCUCAGUGCCUGACAGUUUUGGUCGGCACCUGACUUCUUUGAGGUUACUGGCUCCGAGCACAGACCAUGAUUCACAUUCAUCCAAUGCCUGCUGAGGGCCAGACAUGGACCUCUCUACAAUCCUCGUAAAGGGUGGCGUUAUUUCUUUGUUGCACAGAUAAGGAUGCUGAGGCACAGAGAGGGGUUAGGAGACCUGUCAGAACUUGGGGUCGCUACUCUGCACCUCCUUGGCUCCCACUGCUACUUUUGGCCUGUGGCAGUUCCCAGAGAGACAGAUCUUUGGAUCCGGGGUAGGGUGGGGUCUGUAGCACCCUGUCCCACCCUGUCUCCCCUGGCUGCUCUGUAUCCCUGAUGGCUCUUCUCUCUGGCCUCCCUCUCUGGCCCCGUUUAGGUUUGGCAUCUGGGUGGGAGCCAGGGGCUAAAAAUACUCCCCAUGUGUUUAGAUGAUUCUUGGAAAAUAAACUUCCCCAUCUUGGCUCUCAGUUUGCACACUUGCUGGUCCUGCUUCCUGUGCUCUGAUCUGACAGUGCCUGGAGUAUAUGGGGGGGGGGUGCGGUGGGAGGGUGGGGAAAGUAGAAGGGUCUAUAGGGGCCCAGCAUCAUGGGUGGUGGUGAAGUGAGCAUGCACAUGCAUACCUGUAUGCAAAAAGGCCACCAUGUCACAAAACUCUAGGGGUGCCUAUAUGGAGACCACAUUGUGAAUAGUAUCCCCAUGUGGUGGGACCACCCUGAGGCUCUGUGCUUAUGUGUGGGAAGAGGCAGGGAAGCUGGUGGCCUUGCAGGCCUGGGAACAGGGCUCCCAUGUUUCUGGGCCUGUUUAUCCAUCUACAAAAUGGGCUAAGCUUGACCCUUCCAUCUAACUGGACCUAGCUAUCUUCAGGCUCCUGCUGGUGACCUUGGGAGGAAAGCCAGGCCCAUCUCUGUGGGUGGGGCGCUGCUCCUGCACCUCGAAUUACACAUCUAGCGGGCUCUGUUUGUUUAUCUGAGUAGGGACAAAGGCAUUAUCUCCUCUAGGGACUAAGGACAUGCCCCUGGGCCCAGGCAGCCCUGGGGAGGGGCUUCCUUUGGAGGACAGCUACAGGACAGACAAGUCACAAGCCAGUUCCUUCCUCUGAGCCUUAGCACCAGCUGAGAAUGGACACGUGGAAGGCUCUUCACAUUCCAAGUGUUGGCUGCUGCAAGGCCUGGGAGGAGAGGGAGAGGGCCAGGGGACAGGGAAGGGACAAAGGUACAUUUUGAUCUUUCAACAAACACUAUUAUUUCCUCUGUGCCAGGGACUGAGGAUUCAGGUAAAAAAAAAAAAAACCAGUCUGUGCUCUUUCCCCAGGACUUCUGACCCAAGGGCAGACACAUAGGGCACAGCAGUACCAGGUCUACAAAAUACAGGCAUAGACACAUGGGAGCAUGGGCCCCAGAGCCACACAGACUUAGAUUGUAGUCCUCUUCCACAGCUGUGAAAGGCAAGUGAGAAGCCUUUGGUAACUUCAUUCACCUACCUUUCUUUCUUUCUUUCUUUCUUCUUUCUUUCUUUCUUUCUUUCUUUCUUCUUUCUUUCUUUCCUUCUUCUUUCUUUCUUCUCUUUUAGGUUUAUUUAUUUAUUUUGAGAGGGAGUGAGAGAAGGUGAGUGGGGCAGGGGCAAAGAGAGAGGGAGAGAGAGAAUUCCAAGCAGGCUCCUCACUGCCAGCGCAGAGCUUGAUACAGGGCUCAAACUCACGAACAGUGAGAUCAUGAACUGAGUUGAAAUCAAGAGUCAGAUGCUUAACCAACUGAGCCACCCAGGCGACCCAUUAAUUCAUCUUUCUGAGCCUCCAUUUCCUCAUCUGUAAAAUGGGCAUGAUGAUGAUUUACUUCAUAAGGUCAGUGUAAAGAUGAAACAAGAUGCCUAGCCAAGAGUUUGUAUUCAAUAAUUUGUAGUUAUCAUUAUGAUUGUUUUUAUUAGAGCACUGAAGGAUGGGUAGGACCUACAGACAGAGAGAAACUGACCACUUCCAGAGAUGGGGGUAGGGAAGAAUAUGUGGAGGUCAGGAUUCUGAGGAGUGAUGCAUAGAUUUGCCCCUGUGGUAAGGAGUAGGUGUGAGAUGGGCUGGCAGUCCCACUCCUAUGGAAGGGAGAAACUGUAAGACCCCUCCAGGGGUCCACUUCUCCACUCAGACACUCUGAUGUCCCCCCCUAGCACUCCACCCCACCCAUACACAGAGCAGUCCACUGAGGCAGGCCCCCCAGCCUGACCUUUGCCCAGAGUUCACCAAGGUCACUCAGAACAACAGAGAGAGACAAGAGGGCGAGGCCAACUGAGGCCCAGCCUGCUCUGCAGCUCUCAUGUUCCUGCCUUAUUGGGUGGCGGUCCAGGUUAGAGUUCGGCUGAGACUAUCCAGGGCCCCUGCCGCUUUCCUGCUUGGGAUCCCAUUUCAUUUUCCUCUGGUCCUUCCUCAGGAGCAGCAGGAUUACCACAUUUGCCCUCUGAUGGGUCCUUUUCUCCACUGCUGGUUCUGUCCCUGGCCAUCUGCCAGUACACCUAUUAUACUAUCUGGAUUUGCUGCAGGCUUCCCCCAGCUUAUGGUCUGUACCCACCCAGUAUUGCCUGAUAAAUUUGAAUUUCAGAUAAACACUUUUUUUUUUUUUAGUGUAUCUCCAAAAUUGCAUGGGGCAUACUUAUACUAAAACAUUAUGUUGUUUAGCUGCAUAAGCAUCUUGAUUUUGUAUUUACCAGAUGUAGUGACCCUACACUCAUUCCAUCUAUGUCAGGGAAACUGAGGCCAAGAGGAAGGGCAGACAAAAGGAGGGGUCAGAGACCAAGGCAGCCACCACUUCCUCCUUGGCCAUCUCCUCUCCCUCCCACUGGCCACACCCUCCAGGAACUGAUAGCACACUGGUUGAGGGGUUUUCCCCUUCCCUGCCUGGUAUUGGGCUCCCUGUUGGAAGGGCAGCUGGGUACACUUUGCAGCAAUGGACUUCCUCCCCACAGUUUUCCAAAGUCUUGGGAGAGGCCAGUGCCAAGGCCUCAUUCCUUCUCCUUUGGCCUCUGCUUGACUCCCGCCUCCCUGAGCUGGAGGGCCAGGGUCCCUUCCUGCAGCCCCGCCACCAUCACACCAGCCACCUCUUGAGGAAGGGAGCCCUCAGGCAGCGUCUGGCCUCCGUGUCCAGGUGGGGUCAGAAGGGGCUGGGUGCCAGGGUUUUAUUUACAAACUGAGGAGAGACUCAAGAGGUGCAGAACACUGUGGGCGUCGGAGUGCUUAUUGGCGUCACAGCCUGGAGUACAGGAAGAGGACCCAGACGCCAGUCAGCAGCUGAGUUCCCUCUGUCCAUCAGACACCCUUCCUCCCAUUCCUUUCGCCUUGUAAUCACCCUGAUAUGUUUUCCUACCUUCAGCUAUUAUUAUCUGCAUGCCAGGCCCUUUGUAAGGUACUUUACAUCCACUAUCCCAUUGAAUCCUGACAGUAAUCUUUAGAGCAAGAGCUCCCACUCCCACUGGCACAGCCUCUUCAGGACAGCAGGCAUUUCCAUCUGUUUGUGGUGGAUGAUGUGCUGCCCAGCUCAGAGCCAUAGGCAGCCCUAGGCUUGUCCCAGCAGUGAGCACUGUCAGAGUGUGGAUGCCUUCAGUUGUCGGCCUCUCUAGGGAAAGGAAGCCCCUUCACUCCAGGUCACACUCCUUUCUGCAGCAGCCUCCAGCCAAAAACCGAUCAGCAUGGGGGGAUAAAGAGAGCCCAAUUCGAGGUGACUCCAAGGGACCAUUCCAGCUCCAGAGCUCUUGGUGGGGUCAGCCAAGGUUACCACUGGGCCUGUGUGGCAGCUCCAUCCCUCCCUUAUCCUACCCUGCUUCCUUUGCUCUCUUCCACAGGUGUUGGAAGGUCCUAGAGGCACUUCUUAAUAAACAUCUUGUACACUGAACUCUGUCAGCUUCCUGGGGAAGCCAACCUGUGGGGCAGUUUGGGCUCAUCAGUGCCCCAAUGGCAUAGAGCACAUAGUAGACUUUCAAUCAAUACUGGAUUGGAAGAACCCAGGCACAGGCAUUGCUAGUCCUGACUCUACGCAAAUAACAGUAUACUAAUAGCAGCUAAUAUUUAUUCUGGUAAAACUAUUUGAUAUGCUUUAUGUCUCAAUCCUUAAAACAAGCUUCUGAGAUGUGCAUUUCUAUUUUCUCCAUUUUCAGAGGAGGGAACGAAAUGCAAGGGACCCAUGAGUGGCAAGUUGUACAGUGGUGCUGGGACUUGGACCCAUACAAUUUGGUACUCAUGCCCACCCUUGGAUCAUCACCAUGCUCUGCCAUUUUUCUGAAGGAAACUGAGGUUUAGAGAGGUAAAGGGACUUGCCCCUGCCAGCCAAUGGGUGGCUACCAGAUCUACAAACUCUACGGUCUGCGCUGCUUCCCUUGAACUGAGAGCUGCUGGCCUGGAAGUGCUUCCAGGGAAGCUUGCAUUUAGAAGUCACUAGCCAGCCCGAGACAUGUUGUUCCCUAGAUCUGAACGCUAUCCCCUGCCCCUCCCUACCUGUGUUUUUCUCGUGAGGUUAACACGCCAACCAAAACCCAGCUCAAAAGGGACUCCUUUGUGAAGCCCUCCUCAAUGUCUGCUCUCCACCUUCUUCCCCACCAAGAUCCCCUGAAGGAAGAAGAUUUGAAGGGUCGAAGACUCUUAGCCAUCAGAGUAUGGAAGUGCCACGCCUUGGCUGGCCACACAAAGCGGGGCAGGCAGCAGAUGUUUGCAGGAUGAAUGAAUUUAAAAAAAUGAUAGCAAAACACAGAAUUAGCAGGCACCAUUCCAGGGCUGGAACUAAAUAUUUACCUUGCCCACGGGGCAAUCCUGAGAGAUAAGCCAGGUUUUCCAAGCUCUAUUUAUGCUGACUUUCCUUCUGUGACUGACACAAUCAACCUGGUUUUGUUACAGUUUGAACAGCUGUUUCCACAUGUAGGGCCUGGGUGUAGGAGAUACUUGAUCCUGGGCUUUCACUGUUCCUCAACAUCGUGUGUCCUCCUCAUGGUAUUUGCUCCCAAUCCUUGGCCCGAGGUGACACUGCCCCUCCAAUCUGUGAGCCUGGACUGGCCAGUCUCCAUAAGUGAGUGAAUUGGGCCUUUACUCUAAGUUGUGGGUUCAUGCACAGCCACAGGGUUAACAGCUUUAUCAGGAGCUGCUUGGAGUAUGUAGGACAGAUUUGCCUGGGUCUACUGCCUGAGUGGUCACCUGGGAGACACCUCUUAAGGGAAAGGGGUUGGCUGUGAUAUGAUGGGUCCAAGUAAAGGGUCAUAGGGGAGGAAGACUUGGAGUUCAGUGUGGCAUUUAUGAGUCAACCUCUGGGAUUCACACUGGAGUCUGUUAGAAAGAAAACCUCAGACCCAAAAUGGAGUCACUUAUGUUAAGAGCCCAAUGUCAGCAAACCAAGACUUAAUAUCUAACCUAACUGCAGUUUCAGGUCCCCCUAGGAAUGUAACCUUUAUCCAGUCAACCUGAAAUUUCCUGGUCAGCACUAGGAAAUUUACUGAUAGACCCCUUCCAUUGCCCUUAGGAGGGUGACCUUGCCUAAAACAAUGCUUUUUUUUUUUUUUUUUUGCUAAUAAUUUCCUUUUUUCUGUGCCCUGUCUGCCUUUAAAACCCUUUUCUUUCCUGCAGCUCCACGGAGCUCCCUUCUACUUGCUAGAUGAGAUGUUGCCUGAUUCAUGAAUCAAUUAAUAAAGCUAGUUAGAUCUUUAAAGCUUACUUGGUUGAAUUCUUGUUAUUCCACAGGUCAUAAAAGUUAUGGACGUGGCCUAUGAAAAUGGAAAGAGCAAUCUCAUCUAAACACUAACACUGCUUGUGGGGGCCAGGCAGCUCUGAUUUGGGAUCAGGCAGCUGAUUUGGCAGCUCUGAUUAAGGGCCUAGUGAGCAACUCUGCCCCUGGUGUUCACUCUGUGAGGGGACAUUUGGGGACGGAAGUGGUAGUUUUGCAUGAGGGGACCAGAGAUUGGAUGUUCCUGCUCAAGGGACACCACAUGACAAGCUGAAAGGAUUAGUUUAAGACAUACUUGAGGGGCACCUGGGAGGCUCAGUUAGGCAUCUGACGUCGGCUCAGGUCAUGAUCUCACGGUUCUUAGGUUCGAGCCCCACGUCAGGCUCUGUGCUGACAGCUCAGAGCUUGGAGCCUGCUUCAGGUUCUGUGUCUCCUUCUCUUUGCCCCUCCCUUGCUCAUACUCUGUUUCUCUCUCUCUUCCUGUCUCAAAAAUAAAUACUAACAAAUUUGUGUGUGUAUACCUAUAUAGAUAUAGAUGAUAUAGAUGAUAUAGAUAUAGAUAUAUAGAUAUAGAUACAGAUACAGAUAUAGAUAUAGAUCAUAUACUUGAGAUACCCUCUAGAGGCUGCCUUCAACAUGUACAUGGGGAGUGGGACUUUAUGGGGAUAAGAGUAAGGUCCAGGGAAACCUGUGUAAUCACAGGGAGUAACCAUUCACUGAGCCUGAGGCUGCUGUGGCCAGGCCAGCACAGCCGGCAUAUAAGCGGAUUCAUGAGGCGCUGCAGUGUGGAAUCUGGUGAUAGUUCCACUUCAGGGAGGAAGCCUGUGCUCUAGAUGAGGAAAAGGUUUUCCACAACGGACUAUCAAUGCAAACAGGGUAACAGAUGAAAUGUUUCAUCCAAGCCUUUGCCAGGCACAGUGCCCAAGCUGCUACCUCCAGAAAGGUAUUACCUAGGCAGUGUAGCGGUUCCCUGACCUCAAAUUUCUUUCUCUUUAAAAAAAAUUUUUUUAAGUUAAUUUAUUUUUGAAAGAGACAGAGACAGUGUGAGCAAGGGAAGGGCAGAGAGGGAGAGGGAGAGAGAGAAUCUCAAGCAGGCUCCACACAGCACAGAGCCUGAUGCAAGGGCGCAAACCCACAAAACUGUGUGAUCAUGACCUGAACUAAAAUGCUUAAUUGACUGGGCCACCCAGGUGACCCUCAAUGUUCUUUUCAAGUAAGUAAUGGAGUUUAGACUUUACUCCAAAUUUAUAGUGAUUAUUUCCUUAGAGUCCACACUAGGCAUGCUUCUCUCUCUCUCCCUUCCUUCUUUGCUUUCUCUUCCUUCCUGUUCUCUCUCUCUCCACUUCUCUUUUCCUUGCUCUUUUUUGACAUACGUUUCCCUCACUAUCCAAAAGUAGAGCAUUUCUAUGAAACCUCCCAUAAACUGAAGUGUUGUAAAGUGAAGAGUAUCCCCCACUUUCUGAAAGUUCAUGUUGUGCCACUUAGCUUUCAUGAAAGAUCUAUAUUAGUAUGGUAGUGGCUUUUUUCAUAAAAGUGAAAAUCCUCUUUGGAUUUCUUUCAGUUAGUGAAAACAGGUACUAAUGUAGGUUGUCUGUAAAAGUGAAGUGCGAUAACGUGAGCUUUCAGAAAGUGGGGGGAUACCUGUAUCCAUUUUGGAUUGGGGUCUAGCAUUUCCAUCAUCAUGGAAGAGGAUAGAAAAUUAAAGUUGGGCUCAUAAACCCUGGGGGAAAAGACAAUGGCUGCCUCUUUGGGGCUCAGCAUAGCCCCAGUCGAAUGGAAGGCAGCUGAGGAGUUGGCCUGCUGUGUGAUGAGUCUGCCAUGGUGGUUGGAUAGACAUGUGGUAUUUGGUUUAGGCCCAGGCUUACAGGGACAAACACCUGGGUAGAAUGGUUAGGCUCAAUUGUUCUCCCUCCCUUCCCGGGAAAGGCCAGGAAGGAAAAGGCCCCAGUUUAAGGGAGGAGGCAUUGUCCUCAGUGGCUAAGCAUCAUCAGGUAGCCCGGUUUGGCAGGGGGCCAGUAGGGAGCACAGGAAUCUCAUGGCUGCUAUAGCUGGUGGCUGGCUUCCCAAGAAUAGCUCAUUCAAUUCUCAUCUUCCCUAUCCUGCCUCUGGUACCAUCACAUCCCUGUUAAAUGCCUGAUAAGAUAUUUUCAGACAGUUCAAAGUUCAGUUUGGAGCUACAGGCCUUGAGUUGACCCAGAGUCUUUUCUUUCUCCCUCCCCAGUCCCAUCUCCCCUCCUACACCCUCCUUCCUCCUUCUGUCCAGCUCCCAAGGCCCCUGGGCCACCAGAAGUGGAGAUAACAAACCUAGGAUGUUAAGAGUCAGUUAAGAGUCACUUCAUGGCUGUUUGCUCCCAAGAGUUUUUAUCUUCCAGGAACAGGAGGAGGCUGUUCUCAGGACAUCCACUUCCUCUCCUUAUGUAACAAUAAUACUUCAUAUUUGCAUAAGUGUUAUCUGUUGUAAAAUGGUUUCACAUUAUCUUUUUUUUUUUAAAGUUUAUUCACUUAUUUAAGUAAUCUCUACACCUAACAUGGGGCUCGAACCCACGACCCUGAGAUUGAGUUAUGUGCUCUUCUUUCUGAUUGAGCCAGCCAGGCACCCCAUCACAUUCUCUUUUUCAUUCAGUGCUUACCACAACACUAUAGAGUAGUCAGGGUCAUGGCAACCCUAAUCCUUCAUCAAAGAAGCCCACUGGUGGAGUUUGGAGAACUGGGCUGGUGAGCCUCGGAGAUGUGAGGGGAGUGGGGGUAUCUGGAGAGGGCAUGAAAGCACCACACCUUUUCCCACAUACCUUGUACUAUGUAUCUAAGCUGUUCCUGAGCUGUAUAUUUUUGUAAUAAGUAAUCCAGUUGGAGAGAAAAAAAGGCAGCCACACGGGUUCAGAGUGCUUGACCAUCUUGCCAGAGCUUAAGUGGUGGAUGACAGACUCCAGCCUAAGCACAAGUGAGGUAUGGAAUAGAAGCAGCCAGAGUAACCUGAGUUUGAAAGCAGCUCGGAAAUGUUCCAUGUGUGGGACACUUUGGACAAGAGACUUAAUUUAUUGAGUCUCGGUUUCCUCGUCCAGAGAAAGGGAUGAUAAAGCAUCCCUCACAGAGCUGUGGUGAGCAUUUAAUAAUGAAUGAGGCAUGCAUAGCAUGGGAUUUGGUAAGUAGGAGAUGUCCACUCAAUGUCUAAGCACCCCUUCCAACUGUUCUGGUUCCAAGUGCCAGACUAUCCUUUAUGCCAUGUAGUAGAUACUCAAUAAACAUUUGAUGUAUGAAUGAUAAACUCUCCCUUCCCCAACUCUCCGAAGUCAGAGGAUGUUUAUUUACAGCUGCAAGCAACAAGGAGUGGCAACAGUGUUUCUUCAGCUGACACAAUGGAAAGUCACAGGCCCUGGGGCUGGCUCCUUGUGGAUACCCAGCCACGGGCACCAGGUGCUACCUGUGGUUUCUGCAGGGAGGGAGGCAAGCCUUCACUCUAAUUCCUGGCUGUCUUUUCCUGCCCAGAUGUCCUGAGUAACAAAAUGGCUUUGGAGAGAUCCACCCUGAGGCCACAGUGAUUUCCAGACCAAAUGGAAAUCUUGUUGCUUGGGACAAUUCUCUGGGAGCUCCUCCAGCACUGCAUGACAAUUUUCUGUAUGUUGAGAGGCCAAAGGUGCUUUAAUGGGCAUCUGACCCCACACAUUAGAGCCCUCACAAGUUGCUCAAACAGCACCCUACCUCCCCCCUCACUUUAACCUGAGCAACUCCAACCUCACCUGCUCUAGCCACCGGUCCUUCAGAUAAAAUGCAGUUGUAAGGGUCCAGUCCCAACGUUCCAAAUUAAAAGUUGAAGACCACUGACUUAACACAACCCUUUCAUUAUUCACAAAGGUGAAUAGGAACUGAGGUGCAAAGGAACAGGUGACCUGUUCAAGGGCAUACAAUUCUUUUUUUUUUUUUUUUUAAGCAGGCUCCAUGCCCAGUGUGGAGCCCAAUGCCAGGCUUAAACUCACAUCCUGGGAUUAUAACCUGAGCUGAAAUCAAGAAUCGGAUGCUUAACUAAGCCACCCAGGCACCCCCAUACAAUCCUUCAAGGAGCAAACACUCAGACUAGAUUUCUAGUUCAUUGCUUUCUGUGGUGGCAGCUAAGAUGACUGCCCUGAACUUGAGGCUAUAGCAGGGUUUGGUCACCAUAGGUAUCUCCUGAUGCAUUCUGGGAGGCUCUCUGCUGAUCACCAACCUGAAGUCCCCUUCCUUCUACU